rnacentral:lncRNA from 1 species
GUGCCCGCGCCGAGCGGACGCGGAGGAGGAGGCGGUGGCAGUGGCGGGAGCGGGCGGCCGGGCUCGGCUGGGCUCCCUCCCGCCCCCGCCGCGCCCCGCGCCCGCGCCCGCGCCCGUGGCAGCCCGCUCCUCCUCCUCCUCCCUCCCGGCUCCAAUCCCCACGUUCCGCCAGCUCCCCACCCCUCGGCCUCCUCUCCUCCCCACCUUCUCCCGCGAACCCACACUCACAAAGAGCCGAGGGGAGAGAGGGUGCGCAGACGGCCAGCCGGGCCGCGCCAGGGACAUACUGGAGACAGGAAGUGGCUGAGAGGGGGAGAGAGUUGGAGAGAGACGGCCGCGGAGGACACGGGGACGGGAAAGUCUGAGAGACGGGGAGAGCCUGACCCGGCGGGACACAGGCAGAAAGAAACACGCGAGCCAGACAGACGCAGAAGAAACGUGCCUGGUACUGGAUAGGAACUUCAUGGAAUGGAGCUAAUGGGCCGUAGGGCAGGUUUGAGUCGUGCCACCCUGGAGCAGAAGGUGGAGGGUAGGGAUAAGGGGGUGGAGCACCUGAUUCCAAUCUUGCCACAGGGAAGAAGAGUCUGUGAAGAAGUGCGUGAUGACUGUGUGUCCCCCCCCACCCAGAAAUUGGCAUUUGGGAGGGGUGGAUAUGGUUGGGACUGGGGAGCCUUGAUCUUACUGCUCUUGGUUGAGUUGGUGUCCAAUAGACAGUUUCAGAGGUUAGAGCAGUGGGAGUCACUGGGGACUGGGGACAGGAGAGGCAAGAGUUAGGGGAAUACCGAGGAAAGUGGCAGGGAUUGGAGGCUCCUGGAGAAAGGGCAAGGCUGAAGGUUGUCCCAUGUAUUUUGGCCAGAUUUGAUUAUGUAAUCGAG